rnacentral:rRNA from 1 species
AAAAUUUGAUCCUGGCUCAGGAUGAACGCUAGCGGCAGGCUUAACACAUGCAAGUCGAGGGGCAGCGGGGUGUAGCAAUACACUGCCGGCGACCGGCGCACGGGUGCGUAACGCGUAUGCAACCUACCCAUAACAGGGGCAUAACACUGAGAAAUUGGUACUAAUUCCCCAUAACAUUCGAAGAGGCAUCUCUUUGGGUUGAAAACUCCGGUGGUUAUGGAUGGGCAUGCGUUGUAUUAGCUAGUUGGUGGGGUAACGG